rnacentral:tRNA from 1 species
GCGAGGGUUCCCGAGUGGACAAAGGGGCUAGGUUCAGGACCUAGUGGCUUAGUGCCUUCGUCGGUUCGAAUCCGGCCCCUCGCA